UACGGGGGGGGCAAGCGUUGUUCGGAAUUACUGGGCGUAAAGGGCUCGUAGGCGGCCAACUAAGUCAGACGUGAAAUCCCUCGGCUUAACCGGGGAACUGCGUCUGAUACUGGAAGGCUUGAAUCCGGGAGAGGGAUGCGGAAUUCCAGGUGUAGCGGUGAAAUGCGUAGAUAUCUGGAGGAACACCGGUGGCGAAGGCGGCAUCCUGGACCGGUAUUGACGCUGAGGCGCGAAAGCCAGGGGAGCAAACGGG
rnacentral:rRNA from 1 species